UUGAAAAAAAAUCGUUUUUAAUCAAAUUCUCCGAAAAAAUCGCUGGACUACGAUAAAAAAAUGUCACCCUAUAUGGUUUUAUGGUAAAAUAUAAACAUUUUUAGCAAGGCCGGGUCGGAAAAUAUCGAGGCACUGUACAGUCAAUUUUACGGAACUUCGAUUUUCUGAUUUGACCUUCCUCUUCCCUUUUUUGUUUUUUCAAAUUCUAAGUAAAUUUUUUCAAUUUAUCUUAUUCCAUUAAUUUUAAUUUAUAUUUUUCUAAAUAAUCAUGUGAAAUUAUGAGCCAUGAUUGAGAAGGCAACGCGAUGCUCUUAAAAACACUGCAGUGCUCUGUACACUAGCACAGCUUGCACUGCCUUCACGCCUUGGCUAUGAAGAUAACACUGCUCUAGGUAAGGUAGGAUAGAAAUGUAGAAUGUACAGACUAAUUAGGUUUAUAUACUGAAUGCAAAGAUAAAUCAUUUAAAAGGAUAAAUGAUUCUGAGUAGCAUUAGUAGAGAUUUUACUACGUAUCCAGUAUGUUCCAGAAAUUAACAAAAUUAAAAACAAUGUAUCUUCAUUUAUUGUAGUUUUUAAAUUUAAAGAAAAAACGUUGAUAAUUUAAUUAAUUUUUCAAUUAAACAGAAUGAAGAAUCCGUAUCUUUUAAGGCACGAUUCCAAAAAUGUACAGCCUCUUACUAACCAAAAAAGUAUUAUUUUAACGAAAAAAAAAAAAACCAAAAUAAAUUAGAAAACUUGGCAAAAUGUUCCAGAUAAAGAAGGAGAUUAUGAAUAAAACAAUAAAAAUAGUUUGCUCGUGAUUACUAGUCGGCGAUGGUCAUUGGGUAUUAUUUCGUAAUCCCAAACACAAUAUUGUAUAGCCACAGUAAAAAUUUGUCAUAAAAUGCCAUAAUAUAAAACAACGUAUUAUUAAAUAAUAUUUCUGGAUUUUCAAUAAGAUAAUACCUAUUCUUACCUAUUGGUAUUUCUCCAAAAUCGUAAGUUAACCUAAUCAUUUAAUGUGUUAAAAAGGCACAUUAUGAUAGGGCGCAUUUGGAUGCAUUUGUCCGGUUACUUGAUAGAGAAGUAUACGGGUCUUAAUACCGUGUUUUAAAAUAAAACCACUUAUUCUAUAUCCGAUAAAAUUGUAUUUUAUGAAAUAAUUAUAUAGCUAUAGAAUAAUUGUCACCUAUAUAAUUCGGUGUAAUAUUUUAAAACACUAUUUUCUACAACCAACAUUAAUGUACAUUGUAACUACUUCAGAUCAGAAACAAAAGCUUUUUUUUCAAUGUUUAAUUGAUCACACGUCAUACCGAAAUAUUCCACAACAAUUCUUAUAAUCUACGAUUCGAAGAACAAAAGUCUGUACAAGUAAAAUGUAAAAUUAUUGUAAUAAUCCUUAAGUUUCGUUUUGAAAUUUUCGUUCAAAUUCCACGACUCUACAGGACUAUAUACAUUUUAAAGUCGGAUAAUAAUCAUU